UAUACUAUCAAUAGUACCAAGCCCUUAGUACUAUUGAGUUUUCGGCCGUUGGAUAAAAGGAUGUACGGUUAGGAUGAUAGUGGUCCCCGGUUAAAUUGAUAGUGGUCCCCUAGGGUUGAGUGGGUGGUUGGUUUAAUAGUAUAAUCCAACGGAUGAAAAUGAUCAAAGGGUGGAUCUAACGAUAGAAAACUCAAUAGUACUAAGGACUUGCUACUAUUGAUAGUAUAGUAGCCGGACUAUAUAUAUAUAUAUAUAUAUAUAUAGUUGAGCUAAAAUACUAUUAGUAGCAAAUAAACUUUAUUGCCACUCAUUUAUUUUCGAUGAUGGAGCCUCCGAAUCGACGAUCGGCACUGUUGAACAUAAUCUAUACUAUUUUAAGCAUCUAGAAACCAAAUUUUUUGUUUUUCUGAUAUUGUUCUCUACUCAACCAAGAGGACACAAAAAUAAACAGUUAAAAAUGAAUAUCUUUUAAAAAGUGAUGAUAGGAACCUUAUAAUAUGGACCAAGGGUAUAGAUUUUGUUUUAAAUUGUUUAAAGAAAUUUCUAACUAAAAUUCAAUUGAUUUGGUAUCUUUACACCGUUAAAUGAGAAAACAUUUCAUAUUGACCAUUAAAAUUACAAAAUUUGAAACCCUUUAACUAUUAGGUCAAUGAUAUCGAAAAGAUUUGAAAUUUAAUUUUUAAAUAUUUUAAGUAGUAUAGAUCAUGUUGAACAGUACCGAUCGUCGAUUUGGAGACUCCAUCAUAAAAAAAUAAAUAGGUGGCAACGAAGCUUAUUUGCUACUGAUACCAUUCCAACUCAGCUUUCUAUAUGUAUAUAUUUCUUUUUCUUCGUAACUUUGAAAAGUAUAUUUUACAUUCUUAAUUUUUUUAAAAUAUUUUAAGAAGAAAUAUGGCAUUAAUGGAGAGAACGAAAUGACGAAAUUACCUUUAUACUUAUUUUAGCGAAAAAAUAAUUUUUUAAUAUAUUUAUAUUAUUUUGAAGAAUAUUUUCAGUAUAAAUUAUAUGAAAUAACGGAAUAGCAAGGAAAUCUUUACGGAGGGGGACUAAGUGUGUCAGUUUGAAAUUUUUAAUAAAAUAAAAUAUAGGUGUUUAAAAAUUAGAGAGAAAAUUGAAAAGCAGGUAUUUACAGAAUUUUUUUGUAUAUGAUUUAACAGAAAGUUAAUAUUGGUGCCGAUGGAAAGAGAAAAAUGAAAUCAAAGGGUACUAAAAUGAUACAUUUUAAACUAUAGGGUAGUAAAGUGAAAAGUUUGAAACCACAGUGGUGGUAUUUGAAGUUUAUCCUAUUUUGGUUCAGCUCGAUUUUCAUAAUUUGUUUUCAAAAUUAACUAAACUGAAUUAAAAAUAUGAACCGAACCGAACCGAACCGAACCGAAAUAAUUUCAUU
rnacentral:lncRNA from 1 species